CAAAAACGACUCUCGGCAACGGAUAUCUAGGCUCUUGCAUCGAUGAAGAACGUAGCGAAAUGCGAUACUUGGUGUGAAUUGCAGAAUCCCGUGAACCAUCGAGUCUUUGAACGCAAGUUGCGCCCAAAGCCUUCUGGCCAAGGGCACGUCUGCCUGGG
rnacentral:rRNA from 1 species